rnacentral:lncRNA from 1 species
GGGAGGGAGGCGAUUUCCGGCCACAGGGGCGAUCACGGUCCGGUCGUCGGACCGCCGUGCACGGUGGCCGGAAAAGGUAAAAAUUUCCCCUUUUUUAUUUUCUGUUAUUUUUUUGUGUUUAUAGUAUAUAUAUAUGCGAAUAAAAAGGUUCAAAAAAUAGAAAAGAAAAAAAGAAAUAAAUCAAAAGAAAAUAAAAUCACCUUUGUUUUUUAUUUUGAUUCUAUGUGUUUCGGUUUCUUCCGAUUUGGUGUUUUUUUCCUCUUGAUUUGCUAAUGUGUGCUUUUACUCUUUGAUUUCUGUUUGUAUUUUAAAAUCAAAUAUUGUUUCUAUUUCUCACAAAAUGCCGAAGCUGUACAAUGGUUUUGGAUUUGGCCUUUUAUAGCCAUUUUUCCUUACAACUUGCUUCCUAAUAAAUUGCUCUGUUUUUCUUGCAGGAAAAUGGGCGGUGCUAGUGUCAAACAGUGGCGGUGGACGUGACAGGCGGUGGGAUUAGGUGAUUUAGGGUUUUAACUUUUCUAAAACCCUAAAUCAAUUGGUUGGGUCUUAUUUGGGCUAGGGCCUUUUUUAGGGAUUGGGCUAAUGUAGUUUUGGGGUUAUUUGGGUAGGUAGUUUUUUGGUUUAAGUUGGGCCAAAAUUGGGCCUCAACAGUAAUUUAAUAACAG